rnacentral:ncRNA from 2 species
UAUUAUUAAAAUAGUUGGUAUUAUAUAUGAUCGAAAAUAUGGUUCGAUUGUCUCUACCCUGUGCCGUAAACAACAGGACUAUGAUACUUAUACAAUAAAAA